rnacentral:rRNA from 1 species
UACAGAGACUGCAAGCGUUAUUCGGAUUCACUGGGCGUAAAGGGUGCGCAGGCGGCCAAGUGUGUGAGGUGUGAAAGCCCGGGGCUUAACCCCCGGAAUUGCACCUCAAACUACUUGGCUAGAGCAUUGGAGAGGGUAGCAGAAUUCACGGUGUAGCAGUGAAAUGCGUAGAUAUCGUGAGGAAUACCAGAGGCGAAAGGCGGCU